CGGGGAUUGGCGCAGUUGGCUAGCGCGCGCCGUUUGGGACGGUGAGGCCCCGGGUUCGAGUCCCGGAUCCCCGA
rnacentral:tRNA from 1 species